GGUACUUACUAAUAUAAAAGUUCUUAAGCAAGAUACUUAGGUAGAUAACUUAGAUUAGACUCAUGUGCACUCAACUUCUUUGUAAUCGUCACUACAAAAAAAAUAGUGUUUUUCUGAUGGGACUUUACUGGUGGUUUGGCCGUCGGUAGGUUGCACGAGUUUAUCAUUAAAAUACAUAUUUGACGAUAAUAUUACUGGCGUUGCCAUAUUGACGGUCAGGUCGUGAUCAAGACACCUAAUAUUGGCGGUCAGCCCAUCAGUAUUAGCAACCAGAAGAAAAGAAAAAAGUAUUUUUUUUUCUAUAGUGCGUUUUGUCGCCUUCCAUACCAAUAUCGCACGAUCCUCUCUUACCAUGCCUUGUGAUGUCUCUUUUUGAAUGAUAUUGGGUUGAAUCCGACGUCGGUGAUAUGGACGCACUUCCCUUGUUUGAGCAUGAUAUUCUUUACUCUCCAAAUAAUCCACGCUCUACUGUUGUGAUCAACCAAUGAAGCCCUCCACACCGUCGUGCGCUUGGUUAAUUAACUUCUUUAGCUCCUGGGUUUGAUCUCUAAAUGAAGUUAUAUUUUGAUGUCUAAUUAUGUCUCUUGUAGCUUUCAUCAAAUUGUUUAGCACUCAGGCCGUCUACCG
rnacentral:lncRNA from 1 species